AUCCACCUGACGAGUCCUAAAUAGGACGAAACGCGCGUCCUGGAU
rfam:Schistosoma rodhaini strain Burundi genome assembly, scaffold: SROB_scaffold0000031